GUGGGGAAUCUUGCGCAAUGGGCGAAAGCCUGACGCAGCCAUGCCGCGUGAAUGAUGAAGGUCUUAGGAUUGUAAAAUUCUUUCACCGGGGACGAUAAUGACGGUACCCGGAGAAGAAGCUCCGGCUAACUUCGUGCCAGCAGCCGCGGUAAUACGAAGGGGGCUAGCGUUGCUCGGAAUUACUGGGCGUAAAGGGCGCGUAGGCGGACAGCUUAGUCAGAGGUGAAAGCCCAGGGCUCAACCUUGGAAUUGCCUUUGAUACUGGCUGUCUUGAGUUUGGGAGAGGUGAGUGGAACUCCGAGUGUAGAGGUGAAAUUCGUAGAUAUUCGGAGGAACACCAGUGGCGAAGGCGGCUCACUGGCUCGAUACUGACGCUGAGGUGCGAAAGCGUGGGGAGCAAACAGGAUUAGAUACCCCUGUAGUCC
rnacentral:rRNA from 1 species